GAAAUUACUGUGCUGAGCAUUUAAUGCUCUCACAGAACGUUUGUUCUCUGCUUGAAAUCCCACAUACCAAGCGCCUGCCUGAGGCAAAGACAAAAAAACUUAGCUUUGAUACUCCAAAAUGGGCUGUGUAAAUCCCGUGCAGCUGGUCUGCGUGAAAUGUGCCCAGUGACAGCACGCCACGGAGAGGAUUCCAAGGGUCUCUCUUUCUGGGUCUCUCGGAUGCUGGUAGGGUCUUACUGCUUGUGCUGUGCAUGGCAGUGACAGAGCAGUGCUCAGCAUUAAGGGUGCGAUCGCUAUGCAGCUCCCUCAGGCAUAUGUGUGGACAAAACAGAUGCGUAACUGUGCCACAUUGCCUUCUUUUGUAUAUUUAGAUAUGCUUUGAUAUUUUCCAACUUUGGAGUUGUGGUUAAAGCCUCAAAGGGAAUCUGGGAGUCCACAGCAGCUGAGCCUAUGCUUCUAGCACAGGGCGUUCCUGUGCCGUGCUGUGAAUGUGGUAAGCAAAUGGUGUCAGUGAUCCUGAACUGCAGUGUUUGUCAAGGGAAAUUCUCUGAGUCUUAUUUAAAUGCGAAAGCCAACACAGUAGCACUGACACUUGUGUGUAUUUGUGGUGAGGUCAAUGACUAUUUGGAUUUGAGACUGUUUUUUCUGCCUGUGCCAUUCUGGCCACCAGCUCUGCUCCUUGAACUGACUCUGCUUUGCUUCUUUCUGUAAUAUAACCCAGCUGGGACACGGUCCCAAGUGGUAAGUGACUCAAACCAAUCAAACUUCAGAAGGUCACGAAUGAAAAGAGGUGCAGUUCAGGGAAAUAAAUGUUAGAAUACAAAGUUAGGGAAGUUGUGACUGGUGAAUACGAGCAGCUUGUAGCAAUGUCAUGUUUUCCCCUAACAGUGCAUUGAAGCACUUUGGACAGCCUACUUUUGCACAUGUUUUAUGGACAGAGUGCUCCUGGCAGUGUCCUGCAAGGCCACCUGUGUGAGUCUUGCUCUGUGCUCAGGCUGGAGAGAUCUCCCUGGUUCUCCUGACACAGGCACUAGGGUCACUGCCAGGAGUGAGAGCAAACGUGUGAAACUGUUGCAUAGAGCUUGGUGUGGCAGCACUCAGGAAGGAGAAAUCUUGGAGGCUUUCAUUAAUCCAAACCAAUCAUAAGAUGCUGAGAGUACAAAAAGAGAUUUGUACACAUUGCGUCAUAAAUCAGCUUCCGGCAAAACAAGAAGAAAAUUUUCCUUGGAGCCAGCUAAGCCAAUAGCUGCUUCUGGCAGGGUUUCCUGCAUGCUUCCCAGAUCAUUUUGUCAUGGCCAUUGAUUGAAAUAAUGCACUGGGCAGAUGGACCACUGGCCAGAGCAAGUAUGUGGCCAUUCUUGUGAUGCCUGGGCCAACAGACUUCUCUUAAGGGGCUCUGAGGGAUUUUGUCUGAUGUGUCCCAGAAUGGGAUCGUCCAUGUUUCUGUGGAAGGAUGCUUGUGGUCUACAAUCUGGGAUGCAAACAGGAGUGAGGGACACAUCUUGUGAGGCAGCAGUAAGGCCAUGGUACAUGGACAGAGGGAGGGUAGUGAGGUUUGCCAUAUGUAGCUUGUGACUUGUAGCUGUUUGCUUUGAAGCAGGAGACAGGAAGAUUUCCUUUCCCUUUUAAAGGAAGAUUGGUGCAGAGCAAAGAUAGGUGAAAAGUUCCGAGGAAAACUAAACAGAGAAGAGAAGCAGUACUAAGAGAGGGCCAAAUCUUUCACUGGUGUAUAUGAGCAUUACUCAUACAACUUCAAGAGACUACAUGAUUGAACUGAGCAUGUACUAGCUGAGGACCUGGCCCAUAAUGUUCUUUAUAAAGAUCUGAUUCCUCCCCAAAUAGCUUUUCCCUCUCUCUUCAAAGAGGCACCUGUUGUUGGAGGAGCUGGUGAUGAUACUGGAUUAGUGCACAUGCGGUCAGCCCGCUUGGCCUCGGCCCUUUGGACCCAAAAUGAACUCCAGCUGCUGUUGCCCAGAGCAGGUGCUUCAUCCAGCCUGAGCAGCUGUUUGAAUGCACACUGCCCUGGCCAAUAGGCGGGAUAAGUCGUCUGAACUACCAGGGGAAGAGCUGGUCAGCAGGAGGGAAGGGAAAGGCACUAUGCCACAGAGUUGGGUUUCUUAUACCCAGCAUUUAGCGUGGAGACAUUGUUCCAACAUAUCAUGGUGGAAAUGGGAAACAGUGGCUGGCAUUCUGCAUGCAGCAAGCCUGCAUGACCCAGUGAUGGAUGCUGGUUCCCAAAAUGGGAGACCAGCAGGACCCUGACUAAUGCUGGAUCUGUAAGAUGCUGAAUCUGUCUUGUCAGUUAUGUGGCUCUGUGUGAGACAUUCAGAGGGCUGCUGGCAUCUAACAGUUGUUCAGUGUUUACAGCCAUCGGUUCAAAGCUUUAAAGAGCUGCCUGGCAGAGGUGAGAUAGGCGCAGAGCAGCAUGCAGGAUGAUACCUGUGAGGUGUGACAGCCAAAACCAGCAGCAAGGAAAGAUGACAAAAGCAGAGGGAAAUGGGUUAAGAUGCAGCCACAGGAGUGCAGGGGACUGUGCCAGGUCAGAGGAGGGUGAGGAGAUGUGUGGGCAUUCAGAGAUAGGGAAGGUUGGAAGGCAGCAGCCAGAGUUUGAGGAAGGAGAAUAGAAAGACAAUGCCAAAGGUAGAGCAGUGGUAACCCGGGGAGGGCUAGAGUGAAGGGAGCAGGUCAAGGAUGCAGGUUUCUUCUUUCUACAUUGUAUAUGGUUUUGGUCAGAUCCUAUCAGACAGGCUUCUCAUUCUGCGUGCCUUUACUAAUUGCUCAAACAAGCUCUCAGUGAACCCCCAUAUUUCAUUUUUCAUUACAGUGUGGCACAAGCCCAGGAGAAAAACAUGAAUAUUAGAGGCCUCUCUUUGUCAGGAAAUGGGAUUUCCGCAGGUGCUCAGUUGCAAAUACUGUGCAUGCUUCUAAGGCUUGGCAUAUGGCAUUGCUAAAUCCUGAUUCAGGAUGCAAGAAUGUCUCAUGGCCCCUGCCAUGUAAACUGUUGUCCGCCCAUGUUUGGAAGUCAGCCCUCAGUGAUGGCACUAGACAAGUAUGGGUGAAAUGAGCAGCUUGGCUUCAGCACCGAGCAAGACUUGUUGAACACUGUAAGUACAGAUGGCCCAAUCCACAUUUUGAAUAAUGAAUAUUACGACUUUUUCUGCAGCUAGUGGUAAGAAGUUCAACAGCCUUUCUUCAGCCCCUAUCUGCCAUCCCAGGAUUUGAAAGAGUGACAAAGUAUUUCAUCCCUUCACAGGAUCGGCUCAAUAAAAAAUCAUGCAUGGGAUGAAUUCAGCUGUCGUUCAACACAGUCAGUAUGGAUUGCUGAUGGUUCGCUUUCAAAAACAGAAAUAGAGAAAAACAGAGAAUUAUUCUAAGUAGCCACUGUUUUGUUCAAAUGGAAUAUUUCAAAGGUACUUUUUAAAGAAAAACAAUGAAAAAUAGUCAUUCAGUAGUGCUGAUACAGGAUUCACAGAGGUUAACACCACUGACAUCAUGCUGGAACUGUAUAGCAUUUUGUCAGUGGUUAUUAAUGCCCUGCUGCUGGGAGACAGACAGUGCCAGCUGCCAUUUGGUGUGAUGCUUCUCUGCGGGUGAGCCUCAGCCUCUGCUCUGAAAGACUGUGAACAUCUGAGGAUCUGCUCCCUGCCUAGUCAUCACUCCUCUGGCACAGGAGGAGAGGAGAUGGUGCUACAGAGCCAUGUUCAGAAGGCACAGAUGACUUGUGUUACUCAGAUGUUCAAGACUAAAGACCUUUGGAAGGAAAUAAAACUGGAAGUUCAGACAAACAUGAGAAUUUUGCCAUCAGACUUAGGGGAGAAGCCUAUAUUAUUUAAGAGCACCUUAGAGUUUUGGACACCAGUGGAAAGAAGUCAGAAAUGGUAUGGAGUGAAGGAGAAAAGCCCUUGGGAGGAAGGAGAAGGAACUUUGUAACGGCAGAAUGCUGUUGAAUGUGGAACAAUUAAUGAUCUUUGACUACACCAUAUUCAUUAUACAUCCAGAUUUGUAGGUUUAGCUCACUCACUUGGGGCUAGCUAUUACUUUGUGUAAUACCUUUCAAUUACAUCCACCAUAAGGGAAUAAAAGAGAUAUGUAAAGGUGCAAUACAUCAGUGUAACAUAUCAAAUUUUUAGCAGUCUGUACCAAACACAGGUUUAAGCCAAUGUUAGAUUAUUCCUUAAGUGUAUUGUUAUUAUGACAAAUCUGAAAGGAGCUAAAAGCAUUUCAGUAGAUGAAAAAAAAGGAAGCUUUUAUUUCCUUCGCACAGCCUGGAACCAAAGCAGGAUGGUCAGCUAGGCUUACACAGCCCUGCUUCGUACCAUGCAAGCACACUCCAGUCAACGUAAGGGGAAUGCUCAAAGAAGCUGUGAAUCCUACAGAGGGACCAGUUCAUCGGGCUGCUCCACAUCUGUAAAUGCCAAAGUAUGCUAGGACUAGGGAAACAUCUAUGUAUCUAUCUAAUAGGCACCAGCAGGGUGGGUUUUUUUUUGCUCCUCUUUGGUUUCUGUAGAACAGAUUUGUCGUUGUAGAUUUAAAAUGCUGCGUAUAUAUAUUCCUACUAAAGCCCUUGCAGUGCUAUCUCAGGUAAUGACAUUUUGAAGGAAUCAUUUGCGCACCAGUGAUUUUUCUUAAGAUAAUUACGCCACUUAAAUGGUAAACUAACAUAUGUCUUCUGCAUUAUUUCCAGUUUAUACCUCAAAAGAAGCAGGUAUUUCAUAUGGCAAUGGAGGGUCGUGAAGGAGUUGACAGCACUGGAAUUGAAAAAGGUAUUUCAAAAAGACUGUGACUCUCUGAAGUGUGGACAUUGAGAGGCAGCCCCUCUUGGUUUUGACUUUGAUGCUGGCCCUGAUCUGUGCAGGAGGUUGGACUAAAUGACACCUCAGCUUCAAUUAUUUUGUACUCAGAAAAGAAACAGUCUCCUAAUUCUGGUUCAGAUAAUUUUAUUAAGCUCCUGUGAAAUCUAUCCAACCUAGGUUUUAUGUUACAGUUUCCACUUGGAUUUUUAUGUCUUUAUCUACCAUCUGAGGAUCAGUAUUAUGGAGAAGAUUGCAACUGUAGUUCUCAUAGAGGAAUAUGUAAAGGAAAAACACGAAUAAUGCACUGAGAUUGUCCAGCUGUGAAAGUCCUGAUGGUCCAAGCACAUUGUGAUGACAACUGUAAUCUGAUGUGCCACACAGUCUAUUGUAUUCUCUUUGGUACUAAGAUAAAAAACAAAACACAUCAUUGCCUACAGAUCUUUUCUAAAAGAGAGAUGAACAUUUGAGUGCAAGAACCUCAAGUUCGGGAACACAAUUCAAUUUUUAGUUUUGCAUACCAAUAAAUUAUUAGAAUUAAAUGGAAAAAUCCAUGUAAUCUGCAUGUGCUUACCAAUUAUCUAGUUUGAUACCCAAACAGUGACUUGUAUGGACAACUUCUUUGGGCAGUUUUACAGAGUUCACUACACAAGUAGUCUAUAGUCAGUUGCCUAAUCCUCACUGCAUCAUCCCGCACCAAACCAGCAGAAGCAGCAGCUGAAGAAGAGCAAUUAUUCCCCUCCACACAGCACCUGAGAGAUGGCAUCUAAAGCAUCGUGGUCUUCCUGGUGCAAGACAGAUAUUGUGCUGGAACAGACCACCACAGAGGAGAGAAGCUGGGGCACAUGCAACACCCAGAGCUGGGCCUGUUCAGCCUGGAAAAGAGAAGGCAGAGCAGACAUCUUGUCUACCACUGCCUACAGCCACUUGCUGGGGGGUGGGGGAGUACACGGAGGUGGGGGCUGAGCUUGAACAGAGGGAGAGGGAACAAACCCACCCCAGUUGGAGCAAGGGAAUUUCCAGCUGGAUGCUUGACAAAAGUACUCCUCAGGGCAUGCUAGGCUUUGGAGCAGGAGCCCAGAGAGGAAGUGGAUAAUUUUAAUGGUUGUUAAUUAAAACAACUCAUUGUACUUUCCAAUAGCCCAAACUUUUUGGAUAAUUAUAAAAAUGUAUAGUAAAAAAUCGCCUAACUCCGAACAUGACUUUUUUGAAGAGCAGCUGAGAGAAAAAAACAUUGGAAUUCUGUAUUUCUUCAAGAAACAAGCUUUCAUUCAUUGACCUCUUAGCAUUUGAUUAGUCUUGUACUCUGCUGGUAAAUAACAUUUGCAAGAUCUCAGUUGCAGACCAGGCUUUCCAUUUGCGAUUAGUAUCUCUGGGGACCAAACAAAAGCAGAAUGAACCCACAGAAGCCCCAGCUCUCUCAGCACAGCUGGGGUAGCACACUUCAGUGCCAAGCAGCCCCUACCACCUGGUAUGUUUCACUGGUCCUCAAGUUUUUUAGAAGUUAUUCUCUUGUUCCCAGGAGAAUAUUCUAGGACAAUCAUCAAGCUUGUAUUUUGUAUCCUUACCUCUUAGGUUUAUUGUAUGAUAAGUAAUACUAGCACCAGAAAAAAAGAAAAAAAAGUAAGCAGAAGUUAAAGAACUCGAGUAGCAAAACCAGCUGCAGGUGGCUCCUUUGCUUCUUUCCUAGCUGUGUCACUAAUGAGAUUCACCUGAGCCCUCCCUUCCCAUCCAGCCCCUGAGCAGCCACCUGAUGCCAUCCCCAGACAUGGCCUUUGGUAUCUCAGUCAGCUUUGUGCAUCUGAGGCUGUCACAGAAGGAAAAGGUGGAAGGCAAGCAUGUGGCUGGUUGCUUGCUUAGAGCCCAGCACAGACCUCUGGGUUCUGUGAUGUGUGCAGGUCUGAGCACUGGGCCCAGCGCUGCCCCACCCAGCUACACAACUGCAGUCACUUGGGCUUGAUGGCUGCAGGGGUAGGGGCACGGCAGCUUCCCCAGCAGGACAGAGCAAGGCUGGUCCUGGUGGAAGGGAGCUGGCUUAAAAUCAGCAUCUAAAAGGCCAUAAUAGAUGUCCCUGGAGCCUUCACCAUCUGCCAUUGAGUUUCAUCGUGCACAAGAAGCAGGCUUGUUUCCCGGGUUUUGAACUUGCAUCCUCUCUGCUGGAAUGUCCCUACCAGUAGGCAGCAUCCAAGUUGUUGUUUCUAAAGAAAAUUUUCUUCAAGGACUUUGGAGAGGGCAGAACAGGAAGAGCACAACAGCAUCAUACUUGUGCAGCCUUCCUCCAUGUGGACUUGUUGCCUGCCCCGUGGAGCCCAGGACGUGCAGCCUGUUGCACGCUAUACAUUGUUCUACAGCUAAUGCCAACUACAGCCCCAUAUGCUGUGCGCUGAUCCCUUCCCCCUCGUGCAUUAUUUCCUAGUGCGGCAUUAGCGAACUGCACGCUGAUCCGCUGUUACUUCAUGGAUUUAGAACAUAAUCUGCGGGCCCUCGAUGAUGUAAAACAGUAACUAUUGGUUUAAG